GACGUAGGGCGCGAGCGUUGUCCGGAUUUAUUGGGCGUAAAGAGCUCGUAGGCGGCUCAUUGCGUCAACCGUGAAAACCAGCAGCUCAACUGUUGGCUUGCGGUUGAUACGGGCAGGCUAGAGUUCGGUAGGGGAGACUGGAAUUCCUGGUGUAGCGGUGAAAUGCGCAGAUAUCAGGAGGAACACCGGUGGCGAAGGCGGGUCUCUGGGCCGAUACUGACGCUGAGGAGCGAAAGCAUGGGGAGCGAACAGG
rnacentral:rRNA from 1 species